rnacentral:rRNA from 1 species
UACGGGGGGGGCAAGCGUUAUUCGUCAUGACUGGGCGUAAAGGGUUUGUAGGUGGAUAAAUUUAUUUUUUUGAUAAAGAAAUGUGGAAACAUUUAGCCCAAAAUUAUAUAAUUAUUUCUAGAGUUUAAUAGAAGAUAAAGGUACUCUUGGAGGAAAGGUGAAAUUUUAUAAUACCGAUGGGGACAACCGAGUGGCGAAGGCAUUUUUCUAUAUUAAACUGACAUUGAGGGACGAAGGUAUAGGGUUCGAACGGG